rnacentral:rRNA from 1 species
AUUGAACGCUGGCGGCAGGCCUAACACAUGCAAGUCAAGCGGUCGACGGGAGCUUGCUCCCUGAUUCAGCGGCGGACGGGUGAGUAAUGCCUAGGAAUCUGCCUAUUAGUGGGGGACAACGUUUCGAAAGGAACGCUAAUACCGCAUACGUCCUACGGGAGAAAGCAGGGGACGUUCGGGCCUUGCGCUAAUAGAAGAGCCGAGGUCGGAUUAGCUUGGUGGUGAGGUAAGGGCUCACCAAGGCGACGAUCCGUAACUGGUCUGAGAGGAUGAUCAGUCACACUGGAACUGAGACACGGUCCAGACUCCUACGGGAGGCAGCAGUGGGGAAUAUUGGACAAUGGGCGAAAGCCUGAUCCAGCCAUGCCGCGUGUGUGAAGAAGGUCUUCGGAUUGUAAAGCACUUUAAGUUGGGAGGAAGGGUUGUAGAUUAAUACUCUGCAAUUUUGACGUUACCGACAGAAUAAGCACCGGCUAACUCUGUGCCAGCCGCCGCUGUAAAAC